UUCCUCUCAGGAUGGGAGGUAAAGCCUGCUCACUGAAUUUUAAAGAGCCGCAGUAUUUUGACUGUGCUAAGGUAGCAUAAUCAUUAGUCUUUUAAUUGGAGACUGGUAUGAAUGGUUAAACGAGAAAUCCCCUUUUUUUAUUGUAUAAUUUGAAUUUAUUUUUUUAGUGAAAAAACUAAAAUUUACCUGAAAGACGAGAAGACCCUGUAGAGUUUAAAAUGUAAUUUCUUUGUUUUAUACUAGAUUUUCUAUAGAACAAUUUAUGUGCAUUAUUUGUUGGGGCGACAUUAAGAUAAGAAAAACUCUUUUUUUUAAAAACUUUUAUGAAAGCAUUGUUUGAUCCUUAAAAAAAGAUAAUAAGAUAAAAUUACCUCAGGGAUAACAGCGUAAUCUUUUUUGAGAGUUCCUAUCGACAAAAAGGUUUGCGACCUCGAUGUUGGACUAAAAUUUAGACGUAGUGCAGUAGCUACGUUUUAGGGUCUGUUCGACCCCUAAUAUUUUACAUGAUCUGAG
rnacentral:rRNA from 1 species